GGCGACGGGUGAGGAACACGUGAAGAAUCUGCCUUCAACUCUGGGAUAACUCCGGGAAACCGGGGCUAAUACCGGAUAUGAGCCUUGGCCGCAUGGCCGGGGCUGGAAAGUUUUUCGGUUGAAGAUGACUUCGCGGCCUAUCAGCUUGUUGGUGAGGUAAUGGCUCACCAAGGCGACGACGGGUAGCCGGCCUGAGAGGGCGACCGGCCACACUGGGACUGAGACACGGCCCAGACUCCUACGGGAGGCAGCAGUGGGGAAUAUUGGGCAAUGGAGGAAACUCUGACCCAGCGACGCCGCGUGAGGGAUGAAGGCCUUCGGGUUGUAAACCUCUUUCAGUAGGG
rnacentral:rRNA from 1 species